AUAUACAACAAAGAACGCCUGCGAGCUAUACAGAGAGCAUCGCCGCAAUACACAAAAAAGAACCCCCUUCCAGUCGAUCUUGAGCUUCAGCCGCUGAACUCCAAAGAGAACCUCCACCCCUGAACUUCUCCUGCUUCCAUUUUCAAAACAACAGACCUACACCCCUCUUGAGAUCGGCCGCUUCUCUGAAAUAAUUGAAGAAAAGAACAGAAAAUUAAGGACCCCCGAGCUAGGCUUCUUCUUCACUGAUAACACACACACAAUAUAGGGGGCGAAUAGGAAAAUUGCUCACAUCUAUUCUAGCUUCUUCUUUGAAUUCGCUUUCAUCUGAUGAAAUAUGGUUGAGUCGCCUAGUGGUAGUCAAUUUCGCCGACGCUGCUGCUUUGCUUCUGGUUCAAGAGAUCGAGCUCAUUUUUUCAGAUUUACCGGGUGAAUUUAAGAGCUCUGUAGUCUUUGCCUCGGCCAUAAACCACAUCCAUUUCAGUUUCAAAUCUGUUCAAUCCGUCGAGGUCACUGCCAUGCCGGCACUUCGCCGGAGUUUCUCCAUUUCCAGUCCAGCUUGAGUUCCGCCGAGGUUCGAUUUGAGAUCGUUGUUCUUUGUUUCCGGUUCAAGGAAUGAUCCAGGAGCAAACGGGGGUGAAAUGUGCGAAAUUUGAGCCAAAACGGUCGAAAACAGGAAAAUUGGAAUUUGCAGCGCCCCAGGCAGCGCCUAGCCCUACCUGUGGUGCCAGAAAUAGAAACUCCAAAUCGGCAGCGCCAUGGAGGGUGCCUGGCGCUAGGUAGGGCGCCGUUGGCGUGAAACUUGUCCAAAUUCACCCGGGACACGGUUAUUUCGGCCCUAGACCUACCCAAUACGUAUAAAAGCAAGACUAAACUUAUUGGUGAGGGGGUGACGCCACUUUUGAGGGAAAAUACAGACAAGAAACAUUCGGAAGCAGAGAGAUCUCAGUUUUCUUCAUCUUUUUCUAGUAUUUUCAAUUAUUCAACACUUAUGAAAUUGUUUGCUAUUACCAUGAGUGGCUAAAAACCCAUUGUUCUGGGAUUGUGAUUUAGCCAUGAAUAUUGUUGUUUAACGUUGACUUGACCAUGAUUAUAAUUCACUAUUAUAUGAUUGUUUCUUCAA